GUCCAGCUGACGAGUCCCAAACAGGACGAAACGUGCAU
rnacentral:hammerhead_ribozyme from 1 species